rnacentral:rRNA from 1 species
ACUCCUACGGGAGGCAGCAGUGGGGAAUAUUGCACAAUGGGGGAAACCCUGAUGCAGCCAUGCCGCGUGUGUGAAGAAGGCCUUCGGGUUGUUAAAGCACUUUCAGUAGGGAGGAAGGUGGUGUCGUUAAUAGCGGCAUCAUUUGACGUUAGCUGCAGAAGAAGCACCGGCUAACUCCGUGCCAGCAGCCGCGGUAAAUACGGAGGGUGCGAGCGUUAAUCGGAAUUACUGGGCGUAAAGCGCAUGCAGGUGGUUUGUUAAGUCAGAUGUGAAAGCCCGGGGCUCAACCUCGGAAUUGCAUUUGAAACUGGCAGACUAGAGUACUGUAGAGGGGGGUAGAAUUUCAGGUGUAGCGGUGAAAUGCGUAGAGAUCUGAAGGAAUACCCGGUGGCGAAAGGCGGCCCCCUGGACAGAUACUGACACUCA